CUUACCAUGCAAGUCGAACGGCAGCACGGGAGCAAUCCUGGUGGCGAGUGGCGAACGGGUGAGUAAUAUAUCGGAACGUGCCCAGUAAUGGGGGAUAGCCCGGCGAAAGCCGGAUUAAUACCGCAUACGACCUACGGGUGAAAGCGGGGGAUCGCAAGACCUCGCGUUAUUGGAGCGGCCGAUAUCAAAUUAGCUUGUUGGCGGGGUAAAAGCCCACCAAGGCGACGAUCUGUAGCUGGUCUGAGAGGACGACCAGCCACACUGGGACUGAGACACGGCCCAGACUCCUACGGGAGGCAGCAGUGGGGAAUUUUGGACAAUGGGCGCAAGCCUGAUCCAGCCAUGCCGCGUGUGGGAAGAAGGCCUUCGGGUUGUAAACCACUUUUGUCAGGGAAGAAACGGUUCUUACUAAUAUUAGGAGCUAAUGACGGUACCUGAAGAAUAAGCACCGGCUAACUACGUGCCAGCAGCCGCGGUAAUACGUAGGGUGCAAGCGUUAAUCGGAAUUACUGGGCGUAAAGCGUGCGCAGGCGGCUUUGCAAGACAGAUGUGAAAUCCCCGGGCUCAACCUGGGAACUGCAUUUGUGACUGCAUGGCUAGAGUACGGUAGAGGGGGAUGGAAUUCCGCGUGUAGCAGUGAAAUGCGUAGAUAUGCGGAGGAACACCGAUGGCGAAGGCAAUCCCCUGGACCUGUACUGACGCUCAUGCACGAAAGCG
rnacentral:rRNA from 1 species